rnacentral:rRNA from 1 species
UACGAGGGGGGCAAGCGUUGUUCGGAAUUAUUGGGCGUAAAGAGCUCGUAGGCGGUCUGUCGCGUCUGCUGUGAAAACUCGGGGCUUAACCCCGGGCCUGCAGUGGGUACGGGCAGACUAGAGUGCGGUAGGGGAGACUGGAAUUCCUGGUGUAGCGGUGAAAUGCGCAGAUAUCAGGAGGAACACCGGUGGCGAAGGCGGGUCUCUGGGCCGAUACUGACGCUGAGGAGCGAAAGCGUGGGGAGCGAACAGG